rnacentral:lncRNA from 1 species
GGAAGGCCAAGUGCACGGCUAGGUCACAGAGCUGGUGCAGGGUCACUGUGAGACUGAGGUCCCAGACUAUCUGACUCCAAGCCUGCUGCGCGCUGAGGGUGGGCGUUAGGAGAGCCCGGGGGUUGGAGAAGACAGGCCUAGUGCUCCCCAGGAAUGAGGCGUUUGGGAUGGGCCCAGAAGGGACCCUGCAGGCAGACAGAUCUGGGGUUUGGGUUCUGGCUUUGCGACUGACCAGCUCUGCUUGGCUGAAUAAUGAUGCAGGGAAGUCCACGUCGGGAGCAGCCGAGCCUUUGGAAGGAACCAGUGCUCCUGACACCUGGACCUCAGACCGGUGGAACUGAUCUUGGACUUCUGAAUUCCAGAACCGUGAGGAGAGAAAUCUGCUUUGUUUUCAGCCCUACCUCUGUGGUCCCUUGUUAUAGAAGCAGUGGGAAAUAGCUCAGCAGACAUUUGUCCUUGGGCUGGUGGGGGACCAUGUCUGAGCCUCAAUUUUGCCAUCUGUGACAGGGGAUGAGAGUGACAUCGCUCACACCAUGGCAUGAGGGUAGAGGGGAGACAGAAAAGAUUCUUCCAGUGUGUGCUGAUUGAAUAUUAGGUAUUACUGCUGCUGUUCUUUUUUAAAAAAUUAAUGCUCGCAUGAAAAUAUGUGAGACUUCUAAUAAAAAGCAGUGCAUGAACAAGUUCUUGUUGAACUAAUCCCCAGCCUCUUUUUGGGGUCCUUACACUGUUUUCUGUUGCAGACCUGUACUGACCUGUGGAUUUCCUAUGAUAAUAUCCCAGCAUGCUGCUUGAGUGUAGCACACAGCUGUUACUUUGAGGAGAGGCUUGCAGACCCCAACAUGACAAGGGACCUGCCCCAGGGAGAGGGGCUGGCCUCGUGUCCCCAGCCAUCUGGUGAACCCUGACACAGCCUGCUCGAGGCCUCCAGCGGCUCACUCCCCAGACCCGGUGCCAGCCGUUCCCACACCUCCUGCCACUCGGCCCAGCUUGCUCUGACCACCAGAGAAGUGGUCUCCAUGGCGACCUUGGGCCUUAAGGAAUCCUAACACAUCCACUGAUGCUGACAAAAGUCUCUGAGAAUCCAAGCCGGCUCUCCUGUAUGCAGGUGUAAUGACCCAGGGGAGAUGAUCUCUCAGCUGCCCUCAGGAGCCAACAGCAGGAAUUAAGGUGGGUGUGGCUUCCUGGCUGAGACAGGGUGGCCCCAGUCAGUUUCAGCUCAGCUGGGAGAAUGGACUUUAUCAAAGACAUGGCUUCCUCCUGGGUAGAUCAAAGAGCGUUUGUAACGAAGACCUCUGGCUGUGCAAGGACCCGGCAGGCUUCUCCUCAGCCUGAGCCUUUUCCUAAAACUCAAGAAGAUGAUUCUUUCCCUCCGGAGCCCCCGCAGCACAGCCCCUUGAGGCCUCCUCUUCUCCCUGUUUGUCCCCUGCUUUCCUGAGGGCUCCAGGUGUCAGGAAGAGAAGAGAAAG